ACGUACACUCCUGCGGGAGGCAGCAGUGGGGAAUUUUGGACAAUGGGCGAAAGCCUGAUCCAGCCAUGCCGCGUGCAGGAUGAAGGCCUUCGGGUUGUAAACUGCUUUUGUACGGAACGAAACGGCCUUUUCUAAUAAAGAGGGCUAAUGACGGUACCGUAAGAAUAAGCACCGGCUAACUACGUGCCAGCAGCCGCGGUAAUACGUAGGGUGCAAGCGUUAAUCGGAAUUACUGGGCGUAAAGCGUGCGCAGGCGGUUAUGUAAGACAGUUGUGAAAUCCCCGGGCUCAACCUGGGAACUGCAUCUGUGACUGCAUAGCUAGAGUACGGUAGAGGGGGAUGGAAUUCCGCGUGUAGCAGUGAAAUGCGUAGAUAUGCGGAGGAACACCGAUGGCGAAGGCAAUCCCCUGGACCUGUACUGACGCUCAUGCACGAAAGCGUGGGGAGCAAACAGGAUUAGAUACCCCGGUAGUCCCAUG
rnacentral:rRNA from 1 species